AUGAUCUGGCAUGUACAGAAUGAAAACUUCAUUCUCGAUUCUACGAGAAUUUUUAUGAAAGCGUUUCAUUUGCUUCUCUUCAAUGGAAGUUUCAUUUUCCCAGAAUGUAUCCUAAUUUUUGGCCUAAUUCUUCUUCUGAUGAUCGAUUCAACCUCUGAUCAAAAAGAUAGACCUUGGUUCUAUUUCAUCUCUUCAACAAGUUUAGUAAUAAGCAUAACGGCCCUAUUGUUCCGAUGGAGAGAAAAACCUAUAAUUAGCUUUUCGGGAAAUUUCCAAACGAACAAUUUCAACGAAAUCUUUCAAUUUCUCUAUCUAUAUACCUAG
rnacentral:rRNA from 1 species